rnacentral:rRNA from 1 species
GACGAACGCUGGCGGCGUGCUUAACACAUGCAAGUCGAACGGAAAGGCCCUGCUUUUGUGGGGUGCUCGAGUGGCGAACGGGUGAGUAACACGUGAGUAACCUGCCCUUGACUUUGGGAUAACUUCAGGAAACUGGGGCUAAUACCGGAUAGGAGCUCCUGCUGCAUGGUGGGGGUUGGAAAGUUUCGGCGGUUCGGGAUGGAAUCGCGGGUUAUCAGCUUGUUGGUGGGGUAGUGGAUGACCAAGGCUUUGACGGGUAGCCGGCCUGAGAGGGUGACCGGCCACAUUGGGCCUGCGAUAGGGCCCAGACUCCUACGGGAGGCAGCAGUGGGGAAUAUUGCACAAUGGGCGGAAGCGUGAUGCGGCAACGCCGCGUGCGUGAUGACGGCCUUCGGGUUGUAAACCGCUUUCGCAUGUGACGAAGCGUGAGUGACGGUAACGGGUAAAGAAGCACCGGCUAACUACGUG